rnacentral:lncRNA from 1 species
AGGGUGCCACUACUAUGGAGACACAGCUGGGCUGAACAAGAUUUGCUUCAAACGACAACAAGAGAGACAGAAAGUAUCUGGUUCAACCGCUGCCCGAGCAGGCAGGCACCAGAAGAGCUAGCAGCCAAUCCGGCCAUGCUCGAAGCCAGCUCUGCAGCUCAGCCAAUCAGUGACAUCAUUGCUUUCUUUAGCUUGCCCAUGGUGAUGUGAAGAUGAGAAGAAAUAGCAAGGCCCAACCAGUUCUUCAUCUGGAGACAGUUCAACGUUCUGCAAACCAGAUCUUCAGGAAUUUUACUGGGAUAAUUAUCCAAAUAAAUUGCAAGCAUUCUAUCCAAAUGGAGCUCUUUCUGAGAUGAAGAGAAUUCUCAAUGUCAAGAUUUGAACAAGAAGAGAAUGGAAUACACAAUAUGGACAUCCAUAAAAAUUCAUCAGAGAGCAUUUUACUACUGAGCUGCAAAGGGAAAAACUUAAAAUGGAUAUGAAAAGUGAAGAAAGUGAUCAUAGGAGAAAACCAUUUCAGAUGACAAGAGCACCUCAAAGGCAGCAGCCUCAAGGAGCAGCCAUGGCCCCAGACUUGUCGCACGGAUGCAGAAAACUUAAUGGAGGAGGCUGAGGUCAGAAUGGGAAGAGUUUUUAAAAAAUAAAAAGGGGAGCUAAUAUGUG